rnacentral:rRNA from 1 species
UACGAAGGGGGCUAGCGUUGUUCGGAAUCACUGGGCGUAAAGCGCACGUAGGCGGAUUUUUAAGUCAGGGGUGAAAUCCCGAGGCUCAACCUCGGAACUGCCUUUGAUACUGGAGAUCUUGAGUCCGGAAGAGGUAAGUGGAACUGCGAGUGUAGAGGUGAAAUUCAUAGAUAUUCGCAAGAACACCAGUGGCGAAGGCGGCUUACUGGUCCGGAACUGACGCUGAGGUGCGAAAGCGUGGGGAGCAAACAGG